rnacentral:rRNA from 1 species
UACGUAGGGGGCAAGCGUUGUCCGGAUUUAUUGGGCGUAAAGAGCUCGUAGGCGGUUUGGUAAGUCGGAUGUGAAAUCUCCAGGCUCAACUUGGAGGGGUCAUUCGAUACUGCCAUGACUAGAGUUUGGUAGGGGAGUGUGGAAUUUCUGGUGGAGCGGUGAAAUGCGCAGAUAUCAGAAGGAACACCCGUAGCGAAGGCGGCACUCUGGGCCAUAACUGACGCUGAGGAGCGAAAGCGUGGGGAGCGAACAGG